GAUGAACGCUGGCGGCGUGCCUAAUACAUGCAAGUCGAACGCUGGAGAUCUAGCUUGCUUGAUCGAAGGAGUGGCGAACGGGUGAGUAAUACAUAAGCAACCUACCCACGAAGACCGGGAUAAUCUCCGGAAACGGGGACUAAUACCGGAUAGGUAAUCGGAAGGCAUCUUCUGGCUAUUAAAUGUUAAUAACACUGGUGGAUGUGCUUAUGGCGCAUUAGUUAGUUGGUGAGGUAACGGCCCACCACGACGAUGAUGCGUAGCCGGCCUGGGAGGGUGAACGGCCACAUUGGGACUGAGACACGGCCCAGACUCCUACGGGAGGCAGCAGUAGGGAAUUUUCGGCAAUGGGGGCAACCCUGACCGAGCAACGCCGCGUGAGUGAAGACGGCCUUCGGGGUGUAAAGCUCUGUUGUAAGGGAAGAACGGUAGAUAGAGAAUAUCUAAGUGACGGUACCUUACCAGAAAGCCACGGCUAACUACGUG
rnacentral:rRNA from 1 species